rfam:Asian citrus Psyllid, Diaphorina citri - Florida Strain, whole genome shotgun sequence.
AAAACGGCCCUUAUCAGGGCCACCAACAUGUUGUGUUCUCUCUUUU